rnacentral:rRNA from 1 species
GAUGAACGCUGGCGGCGUGCCUAAUACAUGCAAGUCGAGCGAGAAGCUUGGAAAUGACGCUUCGGUUGAUUUUCCAAGCGGACAGCGGCGGACGGGUGAGUAACGCGUAGGCAACCUGCCCCUGACAGAGGGAUAGCCAUUGGAAACGAUGAUUAAAACCUCAUGACACCGUAGUAGCACAUGCUACAUCGGUCAAAGAUUUAUCGGUCAGGGAUGGGCCUGCGUCUGAUUAACUGGUUGGUGAGGUAACGGCUCACCAAGGUGACGAUCAGUAGCCGACCUGAGAGGGUGAUCGGCCACAUUGGAACUGAGACACGGUCCAAACUUCUACGGAAGGCAGCAGUAGGGAAUCUUGCACAAUGGGCGAAAGCCUGAUGCAGCAACGCCGCGUGAAGGAUGAAGCCUUCGGGUUGUAAACUUCUGUUCUAGGGGAAGAAAGAAAUGACGGUACCUAG